rnacentral:rRNA from 1 species
GACAGAGGGUGCAAACGUUGUUCGGAAUUACUGGGCGUAAAGCGAGUGUAGGCGGUUCUCAAAGUCGGAUGUGAAAGCCCCGGGCUCAACCCGGGAAGUGCACCCGAUACUGGAGAGCUAGAGUGUCGGAGAGGUUGGUGGAAUUCUCGGUGUAGAGGUGAAAUUCGUAGAUAUCGAGAGGAACACCGGUGGCGAAGGCGGGCCACUG